rnacentral:rRNA from 1 species
CGGACGGGUGAGUAACACGUGGAUAACCUACCUAUAAGACUGGGAUAACUUCGGGAAACCGGAGCUAAUACCGGAUAAUAUUUUGAACCGCAUGGUUCAAAAGUGAAAGACGGUCUUGCUGUCACUUAUAGAUGGAUCCGCGCUGCAUUAGCUAGUUGGUAAGGUAACGGCUUACCAAGGCAACGAUGCAUAGCCGACCUGAGAGGGUGAUCGGCCACACUGGAACUGAGACACGGUCCAGACUCCUACGGGAGGCAGCAGUAGGGAAUCUUCCGCAAUGGGCGAAAGCCUGACGGAGCAACGCCGCGUGAGUGAUGAAGGUCUUCGGAUCGUAAAACUCUGUUAUUAGGGAAGAACAUAUGUGUAAGUAACUGUGCACAUCUUGACGGUACCUAAUCAGAAAGCCACGGCUAACUACGUGCCAGCAGCCGCGGUAAUACGUAGGUGGCAAGCGUUAUCCGGAAUUAUUGGGCGUAAAGCGCGCGUAGGCGGUUUUUUAAGUCUGAUGUGAAAGCCCACGGCUCAACCGUGGAGGGUCAUUGGAAACUGGAAAACUUGAGUGCAGAAGAGGAAAGUGGAAUUCCAUGUGUAGCGGUGAAAUGCGCAGAGAUAUGGAGGAACACCAGUGGCGAAGGCGACUUUCUGGUCUGUAACUGACGCUGAUGUGCGAAAGCGUGGGGAUCAAACAGGAUUAGAUACCCUGGUAGUCCACGCCGUAAACGAUGAGUGCUAAGUGUUAGGGGGUUUCCGCCCCUUAGUGCUGCAGCUAACGCAUUAAGCACUCCGCCUGGGGAGUACGACCGCAAGGUUGAAACUCAAAGGAAUUGACGGGGACCCGCACAAGCGGUGGAGCAUGUGGUUUAAUUCGAAGCAACGCGAAGAACCUUACCAAAUCUUGACAUCCUUUGACAACUCUAGAGAUAGAGCUUUCCCCUUCGGGGGACAAGUGACAGGUGGUGCAUGGUUGUCGUCAGCUCGUGUCGUGAGAUGUUGGGUUAAG